UUUGCCCUCCCCGGGCUCCAGAGGUUUUCCUUGAGCCUCUGGGAGGGCGAAAACAGCGUUUCCGGCCUUCCCGAACUUCCGGUGAUGUCAGUGUGGCAGCUGUUACAAAACUUCAGGGAGGAAAACAGCACGUCGUCCUCUGGAACGUUUCUCCAUCACUUGGCCUGUCUCCUUCCAUCCAUUCAACAAUCUGUUUUUUGAUUGCCCUGAUGAUGUGAACCUCAAUAUGCUGGGUGCUAAACUCUUGGCAUACAGAGGUGAAUGGAAGGUCCCCGGUGUCUGAUUUUUGCCUGCAGAUGGUUUGGCCCUGCCUGAGUGACGUUGAGUCAAAUCCACAGAGCUGUCAACCAAGAGACAGGUUGACUUCAUCCUCUUGAUGUCCCUCAGGUGAGGAUCUCUGGCAACAGGGAAGUUAACUCAAAGACGGGCCGUUGCUUCUGCCCUUUGAAGUUUGGCAUCGUGACUGUGAACAGGAAGCCUGGGGUUGAAAGCAAAUUUUUAAUACAAACGGAAUGACAUUAAUAUCACAUUUUGCCAUGAUGGGAAGAGACUACGUUGCAGGCAGCCCUUUUAAACUCCCAGCAGUGACAUUCUUUACUUGGAAAAAGGGGUAGGGGGCAGAUGCGAUGGCGGCAUCUAAUUUUGCUUCUAUCAGAAUGAAAAAGGACUUGUCAACUGGAGGGAACAGCUGAGAGACACGACUGGUAGAAUGUCGGUGCCAGAAUGUUUUGGUUAAUGCUACUUCCUGGUCUUUGUUUCCAGCCCCUUCUCUCAUGUCUUCUUUCUGUUAGAAUCGGGGGGCGAGGCCGGGCGGGGUGCAAGAACUGAAACUCAUUAAAACAACAUCAAGCC